rnacentral:rRNA from 1 species
UCUCAAAUCAGGUAGGACUACCCGCUGAACUUAAGCAUAUCAAUAAGCGGAGGAAAAGAAACUAACAAGGAUUCCCCUAGUAACGGCGAGUGAAGCGGGAAGAGCUCAAAUUUAAAAUCUGACGGUGUAUUCCGUCCGAGUUGUAGCCUAGAGAAGCAUCAUCCGCGCUGGACCAUGUACAAGUCUCUUGGAACAGAGCGUCAUAGAGGGUGAGAAUCCCGUCCUUGACAUGGACUCCCAGUGCUUUGUGUUGUGCUCUCGACGAGUCGAGUUGUUUGGGAAUGCAGCUCAAAAUGGGUGGUAAAUUCCAUCUAAAGCUAAAUAUUGGCGAGAGACCGAUAGCGAACAAGUACCGUGAGGGAAAGAUGAAAAGCACUUUGGAGAGAGAGUUAAACAGUACGUGAAAUUGUUGAAAUGGAAACGCUUGAAGUCAGUCGCGUUCUCUGGGAUUCAGCCUUGCUUCUGCUUGGUGCAUUUCCUAGUUUACGGGCCAACAUGAAUUUUGACCAGUGGAAAAGGAUUUGGGGAAUGUGGCACCUCCGGGUGUGUUAUAGCCCCUUGUCGCAUACAUUGGUUGGGAUUGAGGUUUCAGUGCAC